CGAGCGGACAGAUGGGAGCUUGCUCCCUGAUGUUAGCGGCGGACGGGUGAGUAACACGUGGGUAACCUGCCUGUAAGACUGGGAUAACUCCGGGAAACCGGGGCUAAUACCGGAUGGUUGUUUGAACCGCAUGGUUCAAACAUAAAAGGUGGCUUCGGCUACCACUUACAGAUGGACCCGCGGCGCAUUAGCUAGUUGGUGAGGUAACGGCUCACCAAGGCAACGAUGCGUAGCCGACCUGAGAGGGUGAUCGGCCACACUGGGACUGAGACACGGCCCAGACUCCUACGGGAGGCAGCAGUAGGGAAUCUUCCGCAAUGGACGAAAGUCUGACGGAGCAACGCCGCGUGAGUGAUGAAGGUUUUCGGAUCGUAAAGCUCUGUUGUUAGGGAAGAACAAGUACCGUUCGAAUAGGGCGGUACCUUGACGGUACCUAACCAGAAAGCCACGGCUAACUACGUGCCAGCAGCCGCGGUAAUACGUAGGUGGCAAGCGUUGUCCGGAAUUAUUGGGCGUAAAGGGCUCGCAGGCGGUUUCUUAAGUCUGAUGUGAAAGCCCCCGGCUCAACCGGGGAGGGUCAUUGGAAACUGGGGAACUUGAGUGCAGAAGAGGAGAGUGGAAUUCCACGUGUAGCGGUGAAAUGCGUAGAGAUGUGGAGGAACACCAGUGGCGAAGGCGACUCUCUGGUCUGUAACUGACGCUGAGGAGCGAAAGCGUGGGGAGCGAACAGGAUUAGAUACCCUGGUAGUCCACGCCGUAAACGAUGAGUGCUAAGUGUUAGGGGGUUUCCGCCCCUUAGUGCUGCAGCUAACGCAUUAAGCACUCCGCCUGGGGAGUACGGUCGCAAGACUGAAACUCAAAGGAAUUGACGGGGGCCCGCACAAGCGGUGGGAGCAUGUGGUUUAAUUCGAAGCAACGCGAAGAACCUUUACCAGGUCUUGACAUCCUCUGACAAUCCUAGAGAUAGGACGUCCCCUUCGGGGCAGAGUGACAGGUGGUGCAUGGUUGUCGUCAGCUCGUGUCGUGAGAUGUUGGGGUAGUCCCGCAACGAGCGCAACCCUGAUCUAGCUGCAGCAUCAGUGGCACCUCUAAGGGUGACUGCCCGGGUGACAAACCGGAAGAA
rnacentral:rRNA from 1 species